rnacentral:rRNA from 1 species
GAGGAAACUCUGGUGGAGGCUCGAAGCGGUGCUGACGUGCAAAUCGCUCGUCAAAUUUGAGUAUAGGGGCGAAAGACUAAUCGAACCAUCUAGUAGCUGGUUUCCUCCGAAGUUUCUCUCAGGAUAGCAGUCCCAAAAUAGGUUGUUGUGUGCGGUAAAGCGAAUGAUUAGCAUACUCGGGGGUGUAAAACCUUCGGAUGAUUCUCAAACUUUAAAUGCGCACGGGUACUGCCGCUUAGAUUGGCCAGUAUCAUUAAAAACUUGGGGCUUGUGGGCCAUUUUUGGUAAGCAGAACUGGCGAUACGGGAUGAACCGUAAGCAUGGUUAAGGCGUCAAAGUGUCCGCUUAAAGAUCCCAAAAAAGGUGUUGAUUCAUCGAGACAGCAGGACGGUGGCCAUGGAAGUCGGAAUCCGCUAAGGAGUGUGUAACAACUCACCUGCCGAAUGAAUUAGCCCUGAAAAUGGAUGACGCUAAAGCGGUCCGCCGACACCAUGCCGUUUAUGCAAAAAUAGGAAAGAUAAAAAAUAACAUAAAAAAAAAACUAAAAAAGAAUACUUUUAGAAAAAUAAGAAAAAUACGCUUAAAUGAGUAGGAGGAACAUGGUGGUUGUACCGAAGCGUGCGUGCAAACGGGCGUGGAACGGCCACUAGUGCAGAUCUUGGUGUAAGUAGCAAAUAUUCAAGUGAGAACCUUGAAGGGCGAAGCGGGGAAGGGUUCCACGCGAACAUUGAUUGGGCGUGGGUGAGUCGUUCCUAAGCCGCGUGGCAAUAGCUAUAUUAACGGCGAAAGGGAAGCAGGUUGAAAUUCCUGCACACGGAUGUGGUUAGCGGUGACGCAUAAUUUAAAAAUGAGGAGGCGGUGAAGCUGGCGGUGGCUCUGGGCAGAGAUUUCUUUUCUGUUUAACUGAGUUUUGAAUUCCGUAGUGUGGAAUCCGCUUGUCGGGAGAAACACACGGGUUCAGGAAUAGCGCCGGGAUUUUUUCCGGGCGUCCAGAUCGCCAUCGUCGGACCUUGAAAAACUGCCUGCAGGCGCAAGCCUAUAAAAAAAAAUUUUA